rnacentral:rRNA from 1 species
CAGGAAGAACCAACCACCUAAGCUGCUUCUUAUUCCACUUUAACAAAGAAAUUAUUGUUAACAAUUAUAACAAUAUGAAUGGAUAUAAAGACAUAUUACAAAAUUAGAAGAAACAUCUUUAACAAACUAAUAAAGAUACUAAAGUAUUGGCGAAAGAAAUAGUAAACACCACAAAAAUUUUAUUAGGUAUAUGAAUAUCUAGGUAGUAAAGAAGCUGACUUAUAAAUAUAGUACUGUGAAGGAAAGAAAACAUAUAUGUAACCUACUUCUUCCUGUUUUCUGUUGUUAAACAACGUACCUUUUGUAUAAUGGGCUUGCUAGAAUCAAUUUGGUUAGCUUAUUAACGCCAUAUUCAUGAUAAAAUCAAAUGUUCCCGAAACUAGGUGAUCAAUUCUGAAGUAGCCAAUAGGGCCAACCAUUUACUGUUUCAAAAGUUUUGGAAAACUUCAGAAUAGGAGUGAAAUACUAAUCGAACCUAGAAAUAGCUGGUUUUCUACAAAACCCUUAUUAGAGGGAUGAUGCUAUAUUAACUAUUUUGUAAAAUUAAAAUAAAUACUAAUAUCAACAUUUUCACAGACCAAUAAUGAUAAGAUUGUUGGUCAAGAGAGAAACAACUCGGAUUAUAAGCCAAGGACAUAAAUUAAUUAAAUGUAUACACAAUAGAAAGUAAAAAUAGAGGACAAGUGGGCUUGGAAGCAGCCAUCUUAUUGACAACGCGUAACAGCGGCUCCUAAAAACAUAUCUAUUAUAAAUUAUGGUGGCUAAAGAAUUCCAAAGCUCUAAAAAACAGGUAGUAGAACAGACUAUUGAUUCGCAAUAGUGGAGAUAAUGCAAGCAUGAAUACCCAUCUAUUCUUUAGGUUUAAAUGAAACAACCCUUAAAAAACUAUAGGUUUGUUAACUAGGAACCAAUAAUCCAAGAAGCAAGUUAAGAAUAUUAAUUGUACCAUCUAACCAAAGGAAGCAAAACAACUUGAUCAAUUUCUUCAAAGGAACUCGGCAAAGCUGGACUCAAACCAUCUAUAGGAUCGACUGUUUACCAAAAACAUAGCCCUACGACACUCUUGUAAGGUGAAGCCUGCCCAAUGACUGCCAAUAAUCUAAUAAAAAUCAGUUCAAUGGCCGCGGUAACUCUGACCGUGAUAAAGUAGCAUAAUCACUUGUCACUUAAUUGGUGACUGGAAUGAAUGGCUAAACGAAUCCUCCUCUGUCUCUGAAGAAAUCCUGGCAAAUUUGAAAUAGCAGUGAAGAUGCUGCUAAAUAAUUGUAAGACGAAAAGACCCUAUCGAGCUUUACUGGAAUCUUGCAAAGUAACAUAGUUAUUAAAGACAAAAUUAUACAAAUUGCAAGCCCGACAGUUUGGUUGGGGCGACCACCCCUAAAAACGUAUCAGGGGAACUCUAAGGGCUGUCAUAAUAUGAAAAACCGCCUUACUGGAGACAAACAAGUCAAUCAGUUAUAAUUUAUAGGACAUAUUGACCCGUUAUUUAGCUUCACAACAAAUAACGACUAUGAAAAAAGUUACCGUAGGGAUAACAGGGUAAUAUUUUCAGAGAGUUCAUAUCGAUGAAAAUGUUUGCCACCUCGAUGUUGAAUUAUGAUAUCCUGAGGGUGCAGCAGCUCUCAAGGGUUGGUCUGUUCGACCAUUAAAAUCAUACACGAUUUGAGUUCAUUCCGCCGUAAGACAGGAAGGUUUCUAUCUACAAUUAAAGAACUCAGUACAAACUCUAGUACGAAAGGAAUGAGUAAUGUCGUUUCGAAAAUGAAGUAAUCAAUCUGAUUUAAUAUAAGUUUUUAAACUAUAGUUCAACAAUUAUAU